rnacentral:tRNA from 1 species
CGGGGAGUAGCGCAGCUUGGUUAGCGCGCUUGACUGGGGGUCAAGAGGUCGUCAGUUCAAAUCUGAUCUCCCCGACCA